rnacentral:lncRNA from 1 species
AUGUGCUUCAACUACCAGGUCAGUGUGCUGUGCUGUGACCGCAACCACUGCGAGACAACACCAAGCACCACGCCAAGCUCCUCAACUACGCCCACUCCUGCAGAAACGUCCACUGAGACAACCCAGACUCCCGCACCACCCACUCCUUCCUCUACUCUACCCGAGCCGACAACGCCAACCAGUGCUGGCACCACGGUUGUGCUCAAGACCAGUAUCCCUCCAACACGGGGCACGACCAUCAUCAGCACAUCCACAGCGCCCACCUCACCCACCAGCACUACUGCCUCUACCCUUCCCCAGUCAACGAUGACGACCACCACCAGCACCAUGGUGAUCAGCAGGACCUCCACCUCUCCGGCACAGAGCACAACCACUUUCACAGCCCCAAGCAGUGCCAGCACCGCCAAGUCCUCUACUCUUGUGACAGAGCCCAAAACCACCAUCAUUACCACACCAACGUCCUCCACAACAUCCAUUCCGGUGGAAACAUCCACUGUGGCUACCCAGACUCCAUCAUCAGGCAGUACUGCCUCUACCCUCCCCAACACAACGAUUCCAUGGAAGACAGGGACUACAGUUAUUCUUCCAACUUCUGUUUCUUCUACCAGCCAAAGUACCACCACCUCUAUAUUUCCCACUAGGUUUACCACCACUGGUAGCCCAGGUAUGUCAUUGUCAAUCUCUCUUAUGUUUGGAAGCAGUUACACUGUUAUAAGAGCAUUGCUGUCUUUAUCACCUAGUUCAACGUGCUGCUUCUGGGUUGGGUCUAUCCCAGACAGGAUUACAGACUGGGGGACGAACUCAUUGAGAGCAGAAUCCAGACAGGGACUUGAUGGUUCUGGUGGUCAAAAGUCUUGCCAUGAACCAGCAGCUUGUGUUUGGAGUCCAGAAGCCCAACUGAGUCCUGGGCUACAUCAAAAGAGUUGUGACCAGCAGGUCCAGGAAGAUGAUUGUUCCCCUGUACUCUGCCCUCAUGAGGCCCUGCCUGGAAUACUGCAUCCAGGUUUGGGGCCCCCAGCACAAGAAAGAUGA